rnacentral:rRNA from 1 species
UACAGAGGGGGGCAAGCGUUGUUUCGGAAUUACUGGGCGUAAAGGGCGCGUAGGCGGCCAACUAAGUCGGACGUGAAAUCCCCGGGCUCAACCCGGGAACUGCGUCCGAUACUGGAUGGCUUGAAUCCGGGAGAGGGAUGUGGAAUUCCAGGUGUAGCGGUGAAAUGCGUAGAUAAUCUGGAGGAACACCGGUGGCGAAGGCGGCGAUCCUGGACCGGUAUUGACGCUGAGGCGCGAAAGCCAGGGGAGCAAACGGG